rnacentral:lncRNA from 1 species
GAGAGCGUGGGGGGGUGGGGUUGAAAGAGGGGAGAAGAAGAGAGGAUAAACCAUACAAGCAAUCAUUCUUUCCUAGAUUGCGAAAACACGUGUUUGUUGAUGCCUUUAGAAAUGGUUGAACAUUAAAGAUAAACAAAGAAAUAUGAUGCGCGUAUAGUGCACCCUACAGAAAGAGAGAUAAAUAGAUUGUGAGUGUGAGAGAGAGAGAGAGAGAGAAAUAUAGUGAAAGGGAAAGAGAAGGUUGAAACCAAAGGAUGAGAGAUAGAACGAGGAUUCCAGAAGAUCCUUGCGGAUUACGUACGUGAUUGUACGACAGUGACGUCAUUUUGCCAUUGUUCCUACGGUAAUAUACGAGCGAGCAUAAUCCCCAAAUUACGUUCCUGCAGCGCUACGCUUCCGGCUCACUCUCUUACGCACACACACACACACACACGCGCGCGCGCUAAUAAUACACAAACAAGCAAAUACGUACACACAAGGAUGAUCGUGCGUACGAACGCAUACGUACGCUAAUCAUUUCCCACGUAAUAAUUUACUAAUGAUUUCUCCUCCCUAAGGGAAGGAAUAGACCAUGCCCUCCCUCACCUUCACAAAUACUCACUAUCCUCUUCAUCAUCAUUUGUCGCAAUUCCUCUUUGCUCAACUCGGAAACAUCACUUUUCCAUAGUACACAGUAGUAGUAGAUCAAUGACUGACCACACCGAUCGGACAAUGAUUCCCUAACUCUAUGUUGCACUCUUUUCAAAGUAAUCCUUCCUCGAUUAGCUAUCGGUUUUCCUGAUGAGCCUGGCCCAGACGUGACGUUGAUUCGUUUUGUAGAAUAUUGUUAGCCGUUCAGCGCGGAUAGCCAGAGAUAAAUUAAAUUCGAACGCGAGGCGGUUCGAAAAUGAACUAUGAAAAUGGUAGCUUGAUCAAGGGAGAAUAAUUUUAUUAUUAUUAUUAUCAUUAUUAUUAAGUGAAUAAAAAGAGAACAAAAGUUGUAAGAGAAGUGAAAAAAAUUUCGCUCAACUAUCCUAAUCGGAAUCCGGGGCAAGAGAAAAAAGUAGUCUAGGUCAUCUGUGGUCAGACUUGGCGAAUCGUAUGAAAAAAACCUGUAGAGAGAUGAGAAUCCAGCCACUACUUAGCCGCUUCUAUAAUUUUAUAAGAAAGAUUGAAGAGAUUAUCCUACUCUUAGCAACCCCUCACACCCCUGCCACCCCAUCACGUCACUAUUUUUUUCCUUUUCUUCUCUUUUUUUCUUCUUCUCAUCGUUUCUCUAAUCUCUAUUCUAUAUAGACCGGCGUUUAUAAUACGACUUAUGGAAAAGUAGUGACCUGAAAGUGCAAUAGGUUAUUCGCUAAUAAAA